rnacentral:rRNA from 1 species
CACGUAGGGGGCAAGCGUUGUCCGGAAUUAUUGGGCGUAAAGAGCUCGUAGGCGGUUCGAUAAGUCGGACGUGAAAUCUCCACGCUCAACGUGGAGGGGCCGUUCGAUACUGUCGUGACUCGAGUCCGGUAGGGGAGUGUGGAAUUCCCGGUGUAGGCGGUGAAAUGCGCAGAGAUCGGGAGGAACACCCGUAGCGAAGGCGGCACUCUGGGCCGGUACUGGACGCUGAGGAGCGAAAGCGUGGGGAGCAAACAGG